UAUUGCGCAAUGGGCGAAAGCCUGACGCAGCGACGCCGCGUGAGGGAUGAAGGUUUUCGGAUCGUAAACCCAUGUCAGAAGGGAAGAGAGUGCGGGGUGCUAAUCAGCCGCGUAUUGACGGUACCUUCAAAGGAAGCACCGGCUAACUCCGUGCCAACAGCCGCGGUAAUGCGGAGGGUGCGAGCGUUAAUCGGAAUUACUGGGCGUAAAGCGCACGUAGGCUGUUGUGUAAGUCAGGGGUGAAAUCCCACGGCUCAACCGUGGAACUGCCCUUGAUACUGCAUGACUGGAAUCCGGGAGAGGGUGGCGGAAUUCCAGGUGUAGGAGUGAAAUCCGUAGAUAUCUGGAGGAACAUCAGUGGCGAAGGCGGCCACCCGGACCGGUAUUGACGCUGAGGUGCGAAAGCGUGGGGAGCAAACAGG
rnacentral:rRNA from 1 species